CGGUCCAGACUCCUACGGGAGGCAGCAGUGGGGAAUAUUGCACAAUGGGGGAAACCCUGAUGCAGCCAUGCCGCGUGUGUGAAGAAGGCCUUCGGGUUGUAAAGCACUUUCAGCGAGGAGGAAAGGUUGUUGGCUAAUACCCAACAGCUGUGACGUUACUCGCAGAAGAAGCACCGGCUAACUCCGUGCCAGCAGCCGCGGUAAUACGGAGGGUGCAAGCGUUAAUCGGAAUUACUGGGCGUAAAGCGCACGCAGGCGGUUGGAUAAGUUAGA
rnacentral:rRNA from 1 species